rnacentral:rRNA from 1 species
UACGGAGGGUGCAAGCAUUAAUCGGAAUUAUUGGGCGUAAAGGGCGCGUAGGCGGAUUAGUAAGUCAAAUGUGAAAUUCCAAGGCUCAACUUUGGAGCUGCAUUUGAAACUGCUAGUCUAGAGGGAUGGCGGAGAAAAUGGAAUUCCACGUGUAGCGGUGAAAUGCGUAGAUAUGUGGAGGAACACCUGUGGCGAAAGCGGUUUUCUAGCUAUUUCCUGACGCUGAGGCGCGAGAGCAAGGGGAGCAAACAGG